rnacentral:lncRNA from 1 species
GUCAUUUUGUUUAUUUUCUUUGGUUACAUCUUCUGACAUCAGACUCGGACUUCUCUUGAACUAAAUUUUAAUGUGCGUAUUGUUAUGGGUUUACUUUUCUACAUUGGUUAGAGGUAUAGGGGGAGGGUUGAGAUCUCACAAACAUGUUUAACCCCGCCGCAUUUUUGCGCCUGUCCCAAGUCAGGAGCCUCUGGCCUUUGUUAGUCUUGUAUUAUUUUAAUUUUAGUUUCUUGUGUACAAUUUGGAAAUUAGUAUGGCGUUCAUUAUCACUGGACUAGUAUAUAUUUGUUUGGGGGCCAGCUGAGGGACGCCUCCGGGUGCGGGAAUUUCUCGCUACAUUGAAGACCUGUUGGUGACCCUCUGCUGUUGUUUUUUAUUUGGUCG